rnacentral:rRNA from 1 species
GGGUGAGUAACACGUGGGCAACCUGCCCUUAAGACUGGGAUAACAUCGAGAAAUCGGUGCUAAUACCGGAUAACUGAUUAGACCGCGUGGUCUAAUGAUAAAAGAUGGCUUCGGCUAUUACUUAAGGAUGGGCCCGCGGCGCAUUAGCUAGUUGGUGGGGUAACAGCCUACCAAGGCAACGAUGCGUAGCCGACCUGAGAGGGUGAUCGGCCACAUUGGGACUGAGACACGGCCCAAACUCCUACGGGAGGCAGCAGUAGGGAAUCUUCCGCAAUGGACGAAAGUCUGACGGAGCAACGCCGCGUGAGUGAUGAAGGUCUUCGGAUCGUAAAACUCUGUUGUUAGGGAAGAACAAGUAUCGUUCGAAUAGGGCGGUACCUUGACGGUACCUAACCAGAAAGCCACGGCUAACUACGUGCCAGCAGCCGCGGUAAUACGUAGGUGGCAAGCGUUAUCCGGAAUUAUUGGGCGUAAAGCGCGCGCAGGCGGUUUCUUAAGUCUGAUGUGAAAGCCCACGGCUCAACCGUGGAGGGUCAUUGGAAACUGGGAAGCUUGAGUGCAGAAGAGGAGAGUGGAAUUCCAUGUGUAGCGGUGAAAUGCGUAGAGAUAUGGAGGAACAC